GACGAACGCUGGCGGCGCGCCUAACACAUGCAAGUCGAACGAGCGAGAGAGGGCUUGCUUUCUUGAGCGAGUGGCGAACGGGUGAGUAACGCGUGAGGAACCUGCCUCAAAGAGGGGGACAACAGUUGGAAACGACUGCUAAUACCGCAUAAGCCCACGGUGCCGCAUGGCACAGAGGGAAAAGGAGCAAUCCGCUUUGAGAUGGCCUCGCGUCCGAUUAGCUAGUUGGUGAGGUAACGGCCCACCAAGGCGACGAUCGGUAGCCGGACUGAGAGGUUGAACGGCCACAUUGGGACUGAGACACGGCCCAGACUCCUACGGGAGGCAGCAGUGGGGAAUAUUGCACAAUGGGGGAAACCCUGAUGCAGCGACGCCGCGUGGAGGAAGAAGGUCUUCGGAUUGUAAACUCCUGUUGUUGGGGAAGAUAAUGACGGUACCCAACAAGGAAGUGACGGCUAACUACGUG
rnacentral:rRNA from 1 species